GCGCGUUCGUGGGUGGUGAAGUGGGCCCGGCCCGGGCUCCCGACUCGCGGGAACCGAGGACCAAGUCGGCGCCGGGGCUGGCAGCGAAACCUCGGGCGCUCAGUGAUGAAGGGUGCGAUGAGCCGGGCAGGCUGACGGGGUCCGGGACCUUGCCUGUGACUCCCCCCAUGGCUUAGAGGCGCGGCGCCGGCCAGAGGAGUUUCGUUCGGCCUGAGUCCAGAGUCCUUCUGGAUCAGUGUUCUUUCCCAGGACGUGGGGAGCCCAUUCCCCCAACUCCCAUACACACAAGCCCUGAAAAUGUGGAGUGAGACCUGUCCUGCGUACAAAGCCUAACA
rnacentral:lncRNA from 1 species